GUUGACUCAAUUCCAUCACUUGAUAGUUUAGGAUUUGGUAUAUUCUCCAUGCAAUUGUGUCUUCAAUACUGCGAAGAUGUUCCUUCUCCCUCUACUACUAUUCCUUCCUCAACUGGUACAAUGUCAACAACUACAAUUAGUACAACAUCUGUUCAAAGUUUCUCCUCAAUUAGUAGCUACAUUAGUGUGAGUGCUACUCCUACUACUACUUCUACUAGUACUCCCAGUGGAGCUAGUGCAGGAAUGAUUGCUUCAAUUUUGCUUAUUAUGAUUGCUGUUGCCAUUGUCCUUCAUGUUUAAUACAAUGUAGACUGAACAUUAAAAUUGUUUUCAAUCCUUGAGCUUGUUUUGAGAACUGAUAGUAAUGUUUAUGCAGUUGUUGUAGAUAUAAAUUAAUUAUU